rnacentral:rRNA from 1 species
UACAGAGGGGGCAAGCGUUGCUCGGAAUCACUGGGCGUAAAGGGCGCGUAGGCGGCGUUUUAAGUCGGGGGUGAAAGCCUGUGGCUCAACCACAGAAUGGCCUUCGAUACUGGGACGCUUGAGUAUGGUAGAGGUUGGUGGAACUGCGAGUGUAGAGGUGAAAUUCGUAGAUAUUCGCAAGAACACCGGUGGCGAAGGCGGCCAACUGGACCAUUACUGACGCUGAGGCGCGAAAGCGUGGGGAGCAAACAGG